rnacentral:rRNA from 1 species
UACAGAGGUCUCAAGCGUUGUUCGGAUUCAUUGGGCGUAAAGAGCGUGUAGGCGGCUCGGUAAGUCCGCUGUAAAAGUCCAGGGCUCAACCCUGGAAAGCCGGUGGAAACUGUCGAGCUAGAGUCCGGAAGAGGCGAGUGGAAUUCCUGGUGUAGCGGUGAAAUGCGCAGAUAUCAGGAGGAACACCAAUGGCGAAGGCAGCUCGCUGGGACGGUACUGACGCUGAGACGCGAAAGCGUGGGGAGCAAACAGG